AUGAGUUUGAAUGCAGUGAAAAUUGGGCACAUAAUACUUAUGCUUUUAAAGAUGAGGGAGAGAAAACAAAUUGAAUCAUUUUCAGAAAAAUUGGUUAAUAGUUGUGGUGCCUUAGAAAUGGGAAGUGAUUUCUCAAUAAUAGAGGACUAGUAUGGUUUUAAUCCAUCAACUGACGAAUCCUGCAUCACUUCGGUAGUCAUAUAGUGGUGACAAAGCAGGGAGAUGUUGGCAAGAACUUUGUUGGUUAAAAAUUAUGUAAUAUCGUUGAAGUUAUAUUAAUCAGAUGUUAGUGAACUAUGGAGGUGGCACGGUUAUAAUUUUUUUUUAUUUUUUCCCCUAAAAUGUAUUAUGAUAACUGAAAAAAUGUAUGUAUUUUGGGAUUUUUUUUGGGGAAGGAUAUCAUAUUCAUUAGUGAAAUAUAAAAUGAUUGAUAUUUGGAAUUGUUAUGUUGCUCUGAUCAUAGGGACUUCCUUUGCAAAUGUCUGAAACUGUUUCUUAUUUUUGUUAUUUUGACAAUGGUUAGGAUAACUUUUAUCAGGUUAGACUGCUUACCUUUUUUGUUUUUGAAAAAAAAAAUUCUGCCCUUGAAAAUGUUGAACUGUUUGAAAUUUAUAGGUAAUGCAUUCGCCGAUUCUAUGACCUUCUGGCCUUGAAAAUGUUGAACUGUUUGAAAUUUAUAGGUAAUGCAUUCGCCGAUUCUAUGACCUUCUGGCCUUGAAAAUGUUGAACUGUUUGAAAUUUAUGGGUAAAGCAUUUGCUGAUUCUAUGUUUGGGACCUUUUGCUGCAAUAAAUAAUGGAAGUUAAAAUCAUCCUUUACAACUAGCUAGUUGCACCAUUAAUUCUGGUCACCUUAAUAGUGACUCUUUCCAUUAAUUAUUUCUUGUCACCUUAAUAGUGUCUUUCUCAUUCCUUUUUCUUCCAAAUUAUCUUUAGUUGUUUUCUCAUUUUCAUGUCCGAUUACAGUUUUUAUGACCUUUGGGUCUUGACUUAGUGUUUCUUCAAAGUUUGAUUUAAGCUUUCUGGAUUGGGAGGCAACUUUUUCCUACUUGUGAUUUGAGUGCUCAAGUUGGGUGACGUUUAAUGACUCUUUUGGUUGUUUUUACUGUUGUGUGCAAGCAUGAAUGCCAUUUUGUAUGUAUGUUAAAGGCCUCAUGUCAGCCAUUUCUUUUUCAAAAUUUAAUCUAAAUUUUACCUGUAAGCUUUUUGAUUCUUGAUAUCACUGGCACGUCUGAGGUUUUCUUUGUCCUCCAUUUACUAGUGCAGGCAUCUUAUACUUCUUUUGGGGGAUGGAUUAGUGAUAAUAAUUAAUAUAAGAUUGUUCAGGAGAGGAGAGCUGAGGUUGGCAUGACAUUCCUCAGAAUUUGAGUAAUUGACUUGGCAAAUUCUUCAGUUUAGGCUGUUGUCAUGGUUGGCUUUCUAUGUGUAGUAUACCAUUUAUGCGCAUAUCAGUUUUAUUCUUUAGGAUUGUGUGUGCUUUUCGUAGUUGAAAAUGACGAAUGCAAAAAGAUACUAUUGAGGUGGAUUCUUGGGGAGUUUUUUUCCCUCCUUUUUGAAUUUUGUCAUCUUUGUUGUGAUAAUUUUUUUGGGGUAACUCAUCUCUCUUCUGCUUUGAGAGUUGGUGUUUAAUUUUAAAAGAUAGUUGGAUUUAAAUGUUCUUAUCCGAAUCUUCUCUGCAUUAAAAUGUAGAAUGCAAUAUGAACUUCAAUAUUCUCACUCCUGUUGAAUCAGUUAAGCAUUUGAUUAUGUAAUAAAUAAUAGGCUGUAUCUCUGAUCAUACCUCUUUCCAUUUUAUGCAUUGACUUGUUGACUAUUGUAUUAGCUGUGUUUGUUGAUCUGAAGUAUGUGCACUAAAAGCAACUUCCUAAUUGCAUUAUCCUCCUGUUUCAGAUCUCAGAAAAUUUAGAGUAGAUAUUGACUCCAUGGAAUCUGCGUUUGCUGUACAGUGGAGAAGUUGGAUACCAGCAAUUAUCCUGCCACUGGAGAGUGGGGUUGGGUUGAGGCUGUGUAUCUCUGCAUAAUUGGGACUGAUUCCUUGAAUCUACAAGUGGGUUAUUUGUCUAGGCAGAAAUUUGUAUAAUAUUUUGGGUAGAAUGUGGUGAUGAUUAGAUACAGCAGAUGGUUUGUUUUCUGUAGCACGUGUACAUGGCUAACUACUGCUACUCAUCUUAGUUUCAGUAACAUUGUUGUUGAUUUUCUCCUUGCAGAUUGAGGAUUCUUUGGUGUUAUACAAAAGGUAAUCUGUAAUCAGAGUUCUUGAAGUGAUAGAUAACAAUAUUGCUUCAUCAGAAAUAGUUCUUCCAAGGCCAUUUACUCAUUUGCAUAUAUGCCACUUUCUAGUCUCUAGUAUCACACUGUAUUUGGGAUCUUGGCCUCUCUGUGGAUAUCCUGUGUCAUUUAUCUUGUGGAUCAAACAUUUUUCUUUGGAAAAUUUUAAAAAGUUUAGGAAUUGAAUUUUGACUCGUUGUAUCAUAAGAUAGGUAUUCAAUCAUUGAGAGCUAUUAGUGGUGUGUGUAAAUGGUUAGAUUGGGUAAUUGAAAUUAUAGGAAGUAAGAAUGGAGCUGAAUCGAACAAAUGGAAUCAGGUUGAAUAAAUUGCUUUGAUUCAAAUUUUGUCAAUUUCAUAAAGUACGUCUCCUUAUGUAAGUUGAUGUUAUAAAUUAAUAAUCUAAGUUGAUGUUAUAAAUUAAUAAUC
rnacentral:misc_RNA from 1 species